CGCGUAGGCGGCCACCGCAAGUCGACUGUGAAAUCUCCGGGCUUAACCCGGAAAGGUCAGCCGAUACUGCGGGGCUAGAGUGCAGAAGGGGCAACUGGAAUUCUCGGUGUAGCGGUGAAAUGCGUAGAUAUCGAGAGGAACACCUGCGGCGAAGGCGGGUUGCUGGGUUGACACUGACGCUGAGGCGCGAAAGCUAGGGGAGCGAACG
rnacentral:rRNA from 1 species